rnacentral:lncRNA from 1 species
UUCACAAAAGCCUUACUUAAUCUUCACUUUAGGCUUCCCUUUGUGUAGUCUUAGCCCAUAGAUUUGAUUAGGCUCCCUAAGCCUAUGAUUGCAAGUGUUGCACCAAAUCUGUCCCAUAUGAGUUGAAGCACGCCCCAAAUAUAUAUGGAUCAUAUGAAUAUGAUUUUGAACUCCUUUUAGAUCCAUUUGAAUGACAUAAGUUUGCUCCACACCAUUGUUAGAAAUUUGCCCUAUUGGAUCCGUAUCAUUCUCUCCUUCUUU